rnacentral:rRNA from 1 species
UACGUAGGGUGCGAGCGUUGUCCGGAAUUAUUGGGCGUAAAGAGCUCGUAGGCGGCCUGUCGCGUCGGUUGUGAAAGCCCGGGGCUUAACCCCGGGUCUGCAGUCGAUACGGGCAGGCUAGAGUUCGGUAGGGGAGAUCGGAAUUCCUGGUGUAGCGGUGAAAUGCGUAGAUAUUGGGAGGAACACCGGUGGCGAAGGCGGCCCCCUGGGCUGGUACUGACGCUGAUGCGCGAAAGCGUGGGUAGCAAACGGG